GACGAACGCUGGCGGUGUGCUUAACACAUGCAAGUCGAACGGAAAGGCCCUGCUUUUGUGGGGUGCUCGAGUGGCGAACGGGUGAGUAACACGUGAGUAACCUGCCCUUGACUUUGGGAUAACUUCAGGAAACUGGGGCUAAUACCGGAUAGGAGCUCCUGCUGCAUGGUGGGGGUUGGAAAGUUUCGGCGGUUGGGGAUGGACUCGCGGCUUAUCAGCUUGGUGGUGGGGUAGUGGCUUACCAAGGCUUUGACGGGUAGCCGGCCUGAGAGGGUGACCGGCCACAUUGGGACUGAGAUACGGCCCAGACUCCUACGGGAGGCAGCAGUGGGGAAUAUUGCACAAUGGGCGGAAGCCUGAUGCAGCAACGCCGCGUGCGGGAUGACGGCCUUCGGGUUGUAAACCGCUUUCGCCUGUGACGAAGCGUGAGUGACGGUAAUGGGUAAAGAAGCACCGGCUAACUACGUG
rnacentral:rRNA from 1 species